rnacentral:rRNA from 1 species
AACCAAGAUGGCUAAGCUAUAUAUUCAAUGGUAAAAAGAUAGUUAAAUUAAUAAAAGCUUAUUAAAAUUUUGUAUAAAGGUAGAAUUUAAGUAUAAAAUAGAAAUUUAAUUAUAGCUAUAAAAUUGAAGCUAUGAAAGCCUUGAUUGAAACUGGGAUUAGAUACCCCAUUAUUCUUGGAUAUAAAUAAAUACAUGUAUGUUUACCCGAGUACUACGAAUAUAAACAAUUUAAAACUCAAAGAGCUUGGCGGUGUUUUAGACCUUUUAGGGGAACCUGUCUCAUAAUCGAUAAUCCACGUUAUACCUAACCUGCUUUUGUAUACAGCUUGUAUACCGUCGUCGCCAGGUAACUUUUAAAAAAUAAGAAGUUAGCGAAAAAAUAAUUUAAUUUAAACGUUAGAUCAAGGUGCAGCUUAUAUUCAGGUGAAGAUGGGUUACAAUUAUUUUUAAUUAUAAUUACGAAUUUAAAUUUUGAAAAAAAUUUAUGAAGGAGGACUUAAAAGUAAAUUAAAUAAUAUAAAUAUUUUGAAUAAGGCUCUGAAACGUGU